AGAAAUUGGUUGCUGAGAUGUUAUAUGCAGGAAUUAUCCAACCUAGUUCGAGUCCUUUUUCAAGUCCCGUAUUAUUAGUGAGAAAGAAAGAUGGUAGUUGGAGGUUUUGUGUGGACUACAGGGCUCUAAACAAGGUUACUGUGCCUGAUAAAUACCCAAUUCCAGUCAUACAGGAGAUGUUGGAUGAGUUACAUGGAGCUAUGUAUUUUUCAAAGGUUGAUCUUCGUGCUGGUUAUCAUCAAAUUCGGGUACACAAGGCUGAUGUUCCUAAGACUGCGUUCCGCACUCAUUCGGGGCAUUACGAAUUUUUAGUCAUGCCAUUCGGCCUGACUAAUGCCCCUGCCACCUUCCAAGCCACCAUGAAUGACUUAUUUCGACCAUACUUGCGACGAUUUGUAUUGGUUUUCUUUGAUGACAUCUUGGUUUAUAGUCAUUCUUGGAAGAGCCAUUUGGAUCAUGUGAGAUUAAUUCUUCAGUUAUUGCAAUCGCACCAGUUUGUGGCUAAUCAAAAGAAAAGUGUUUUCGGUAGACAACAAGUGGAAUAUUUAGGGCACAUCAUUUCUAAACAAGGUGUGGCAAUGGAUCCAAAUAAAAUUGCUAGCGUGCUCAAUUGGCCUAUACCAAAAACCUUAAAAGGAGUACGGGGUUUCUUAGGCCUAACUGGUUAUUACCGCCGCUUUGUGAAGAAUUAUGGGAAAAUUGCUCAACCUUUGACCCAAUUGUUACGGAAAGAGCAAACUAUUCAAUUUCAAUGGACACCGUUGGCACAAAAAGCUUUUGAGAAACUCAAGCAGGCAAUGACUACUUCACCUGUUUUGGCUAUGCCGAAUUUCAACAAACCUUUUGUAAUAGAAUGUGAUUCAUCCGGAAGGGGCCUUGGAGCCGUGCUAAUGCAAGACAGCAGGCCAAUUGCUUAUUUUAGCAAAG
rnacentral:misc_RNA from 1 species